GCACUUGGGGGAUGUAUAGCUUCGGCUAAUUAUACUUGGCUGUUUAAUUUAUUGUAUUUAAAUUAUACGCUUUUCCUGCGUAAUAGUAGUAAGAGGGUGUAAUUAUAUAUAAUAAAUUAUUCAUUUUAACAAAUGACUAUGGUCAUUCGCCUUACCUGUCGGUAAGCGAGGUUAAUUAAUUUGUCAUUUCUAUAUGAGUAAGAGGAUAAUAAUCCUCAUGGACAAGUAUAAAAUCGAUUUUAUCGAAUAAAGUUCUAGAUAGAAUAAUGAUUAUGACAAUUUUCUAUCUAUGUGUCUUGACCAAAUUACGUGCCAGCAGUCGCGGUAAUACGUAGAAGACUAGUGUUAUUCAUCUUUAUUAGGUUUAAAGGGUACCUAGACGGUUUAAUUAGUCUACAAUAAGAUACGAUUUUACUAGAGUUAUAUAUGAGGAGGUGAGUAUUUAUGGAGUAGAGUUGAAAUUCAGUCAUACCAUGAGGACUGGUAACGGCGAAAGCAACCUCUUAUCUAAUAACUGACGUUGAGGGACGAAGGCUCGGGUAACGAACAGGAUUAGAUACCCUAAUAGUCCAAGCAGAGAAUUAUGAAUGCCAUAGAUUAGAAAUUUUUAGUCUAUAAAUGAAAGUGUAAGCAUUUCACCUCAAGAGUAAUGUGGCAACGCAGGAACUGAAAUCAUUAGACCGUUUCUGAAACCAGUAGUGAAGUAUGUUAUUUAAUUCGUAAGCACGCGAAAAACCUUACCACAACUUGAAUAUUAUUUUAUUUUCUAUUUUCUAUAUAACUAUAUGGAUAUAUAGUAUUAUAGGUGAAGUAUUACAAGCGUUGCAUGGCUGUCUUCAGUUAAUGUCGUGAGAUAUAGGUUAAUUCCUUUAAAUUAACGGAAACCCUUGCUUUAUUUGCUAUAUAACUAAAGCUGAACAUCCAGCACAACGGAUUUGAUAAUAGGACCAAGACA
rnacentral:rRNA from 1 species